AACGAAGAUGGCGACCGGCGCACGGGUGAGUAACACGUAUCCAACCUGCCUCAUACUCGGGGAUAGCCUUUCGAAGAAAGAUUAAUAUCCGAUAGCAUAUAUUUCCCGCAUGGGUUUUAUAUUAAAGAAAUUCGGUAUGAGAUGGGGAUGCGUUCCAUUAGUUUGUUGGGGGGGUAACGGCCCACCAAGACUACGAUGGAUAGGGGUUCUGAGAGGAAGGUCCCCCACAUUGGAACUGAGACACGGUUCAA
rnacentral:rRNA from 1 species